rnacentral:lncRNA from 1 species
UCCACUCAGUAAUAACUACUCUACCCUGUAGUGUUGGAAAUGCCUCUGCCAUUAUACGAGUUUAGUCGACGCGUUUUAGAAUCAGACUGUAGUUCAUUUGUGAUAUGUACAACAUAUUUAGAAAUGCUGGCUAUUGUCUGAAUACAAUGUGGCCCCUCUUCAAUGUGACUUUUUUCAAGUGCCCUAUUCACCGGCAGACAAUACGGCCACGGAAGGUACAUUAUUACGAGGCAAUGUGCGAAAUGAUACACUCGUCUCGCCCGAAGCCCGGGCCUGCCUUUUAUAUGGUCACAAUGGCCAAAAGGACCCUGGUUGGGGCAUUGUUAGCAUUUGAAAAGCAGGAGACCGAGCGAGGAUAGCCUGACGUGCACCCACACCACAAGCCUAGAUACUUCUCUGUUGGGAGGAGGUAGAAUACACCACUCGGCUAUUACAAAUCCAAUUCGAUUUUCUCCUGGCGAUUGCGCUCCGAGUCAGGUAGGACAAGUGAGCCGACCAGAGAGGGUGUGUUGGACUGAGCUGGGAUAUUUACCUGUGGGGUCCUGAUCUGAGGGGGAGUUACCCUGGCCGCUGUCACAUGUUCCAGGCGUGCGGACGAAACAUCGCAAUGAAGACUUCAACGAACUAUAUGUCGUCAUUAACUCUCCAUCUGGUAAUCACUACCCGUCUACGUCGUUAUCGGCGACGUUGCCACAAACGUCUUCCACAACAUCUGGAAGGCCACAAGUCAUCAACAAUCACCAUCACAACAAUGCAACCAUAUGCAUCAACAAUGGUGAAACAACAUCAAAGAAGACGCAAAUUUUCACAUCAACUGACCACCAACCGUAAUGGCAGCCCUCUGGUCAUUUGCACUAAUGAUGCAAACAUCAAACGCCCACGUGACCACACCCGGAAGUGGCUACUAAAAUUUGACCAGAAACUUAAAGGCGGACAUGUCGCAAGAAGGCGUAAUACCUCUGUUCCUUGGGAUUGAUCGCCAUCAGGCUAUGUAUUUCCCGAGGACGUCCAUGAUAAUUGGUGCAGGUCUAGCGGUAAUAUUAGGGGUCAGCCUAAGUUACUUGAGAGGGACUGAAGCGUAUGGCAUUACUGGAAUACUUGCACGGGAGACGUGGUUACAGAUACAGCACAGAUACGGAUACAGAAACAGCGAAACUGGAUAAUUCACGUACAGAUGUCAGUCGUGCUUAUCUGAAUCAAGGAAGAUGCCUGUGUGUGGAUGUAGGAUCAGCUCACGUGGAUUUAACCUGCAUGAGAUAACAACGAUGUGCCUAUGCCAAUCAACAAUCGGAUUAAAGUGAAAUCGACAAGGAUGCUGGAUUUCUGACCUCGAAUGUGUGCAAUUGUGCAAUAUCAUAGUUUGUCUUGUGUGACAGGACAGCGAAACUAAAACGUAAAUGGUGAAGAAAUUCAGAUGGAUAAUGAUUAUAAUUAUUAUUUGGAUUUCCAUAAAUGUGUUUAAGAGAAACCGAAAUUCGUCGACGUGGUGGUGUGGAAAGACGUCCAUGUGAAGUUCCUGAAUGUGGUACGUGAGUGUCUGAUCCAGGUCGGUUUGCUGUGACACAUGUCACAUAUAUCUGUCACGGAUAUCUGUGGUUGUGGCAUCAUGUGACCAGAUGUGAUUCAAUUCAAUUCAAUCAUUAGGAAUAAGGAAACCGUCCAUGUUGUUGAAAUGUUGGUCACAGACCUGUGAAGUAGCGUACGUCGACAACAAAAGACAACAUUUUAUGGACAGAAGACUACAUUUUAUGCACAGAAGACUAUAUUUUAUGGACAGAUGACUACAUUUUAUGGACAGAGGACUACAUUUUAUGGACAGAAGACUACAUUUUAUGGACAGAAGACUAAACUCUAUGGAUAACUGAGUAUCUCAUGUGAGUGAAGACGACGUGAAAUGAAUGAAAGCGCGCCUGAGAAGACGCACUGGGUUUGAGAUGGAUUUGAGUAUGCCAUGUGGAUUUUCAUCAGGAGCUAAAGGUGCGAGAUAUCCCACUUUGGGGGAACCCCAGGGUGAACAUGUUGCAUGAAAUAUACUUAACAAUAUUGGGGAGCAGAGCACCCAAUAACAUGGAUUAGACCUUUCUACAUGUAAAUUUGAAAUGAAUAUGUUACUACACCUGAUGGAUGUGACAUGGAUGGGAUACUACACCAGAUGGAUGUGAAUAGGAUGGAAUAUUACACCAGAUGGAUGGGAUAUUACACCAGAUGGAUGUGAAAUGGACGGGAUAUUACACCAGAUGGAUGUGAAAUGGAUGGAAUAUGACACCACAUGGAUGUGAAAUGGAUGUGAUAUUACACCAGAUGGUUGUGAAAUGGAUGGGAUAUUAUCCAGAUGGAUGUGAAAUGGAUGGGAUAUUAUCCAGAUGGAUGUGAAAUGGAUGGAAUAUUACACCAGAUGGAUGUGAAAUGGAUGGAAUAUUACACCACAUGGAUGUGAAAUGGAUGGAAUAUUACACCACAUGGAUGUGAAAUGGAUUGAAUAUUACACCACAUGGAUGUGAAAUGGAUGGGAUAUUACACCAGAUGGUUGUGAAAUGGAUGGGAUAUUACACCAGAUGGUUGUGAAAUGGAUGGGAUAUUACACCAGAUGGAUGUGAAAUGGAUGUGAAAUUACACCAGAUGGAUGUAAAUAGGAUGGAAUAUUACACCAGAUGGAUGUGAAAUGGGUGGAAUAUUACACCACAUGUAUGUGAAAUGGAUGGGAUCUUACACCAGAUGGUUGUGAAUAGGAUUGAAUAUUACACCAGAUGGAUGUGAAAUGGAUGGGAUGUUACACCAGACGGAUGUGAAAUGGAUGGGAUAUUACACCAGAUGGAUGCGAAAUAGAUGGGAUAUUACACCAGGUGGAUGCGAAAUGGAUGGGAUAUUACACCAAGUGGAUGUGAAUAGGAUGGAAUAUUACACUAGAUGGAUGUGAAAUAGAUGGGAUAUUACACCAGAUGGAUGCGAAAUGGAUGGGAUAUUACACCAAGUGGAUGUGAAUAGGAUGGAAUAUUACACUAGAUGGAUGUGAAUAGGAUGGGAUAUCACACCAGGUGGCUGUGAAAUGGAUGGGAUGUUAUCCAGAUUGAUGUGCUGGAUGGAAUAUUACACCAAAUGGAUGUGAAAUGGGUGGAAUAUUACACCAGAUGGAUGUGAAAUGGAUAGAAUAUGACACCAGGUGGAUGUGAAAUGGAUGAGAUAUCACACCAGAUGGAUGUGAAAUGGAUGGAAUAUUACAUCGGAUGGAUAAGAAAUUCCUGGGACAUUUAAUCAGAUGUGAAGUUGUUUGUCAAGGAUCAAAGAAUAUUUCUUUUAGAAAAUUCAUUAUCAUGGAUAGGAAAGUACCCCAGAUGGAUUAAAGAUGGAUUAGAGAGUGCCUCAAAUGGAGAGUACAUGGUGUGGAUUCUUGUGGUUCCAGCCUUGUGGAUGGUGUAUUCGCGAUGGAUCACUGCGGAGGCAGUCGGGGAUUCAGUGGAUGGAUGUACGACACUUUGAGUGAUUCUCAGCGUGACCUCUCACUGGGGUCACCACAGCGCCGAGCGUCAGGUUGUUUACCUGUCUGAUCAAUCAGCUGGACGCGGGAACGAUUACAGAAUGGAUUACUUUUAUAAUAAUAAAGGAUUUUCCACAAAGAUGGAAACGGCGAUGACGUCAUGUCGACACCGCACUCAAACACAGCCCCUCUGGUGCUCGUCCUUGAGUUACUCUUAUAACGAGGUCGCCGUACAGCGAGGGAACCAUAAGCCAAGCGAGACGAAAGUGAGGUUGCUUAGCCACCGCGCAGCGACCUCUACUGGGCGGGAAGAGCAGGUAAUUACCACAGGAAGACAUGAAUGCGCAUGCUCAAUGGAAAUUAGGGGUUAAUUGAGGGGUCACUGCGUGUGUUAGGUGAGUUCGACUCAUAUUUGAAUUUUACAAGGCUCCAAUCAUGAUCAUGAAUGGGCCCCUUUGUACCAGUCUAUACGAAGAGCCAAGGCAAUUCUGUUCGCUAGCUUGAGUGAUUACUGCUAAUAUGAAACUAAAUAACGCAAUAUUUAGAAAAGAUGGCGCUGUGUAUCAGGGGAUUUACUCCCAGAUUCGACAGAGCCACGGUGCAAACUAUUUAACAAGGUCUCUGAGCAGAAUUGAUAAUCCUGUAUCAAAUAUUCUAUGCAGCUUGACACUUUUAUGCUCGAAUGAACUACAAAUCAUUUAGUGGAUUAUAUCGUCCUUGUUUGAUUGAUUGACAUCGAGAGUGGUAGAUUGCAAUAAAUUUCACAUCUUUGAUUUCAUGGCAAAUGAAAUUUGUUGAUUUAUUUUGACGAGGGUAAAGCACAGGACUGAAAAGUCUAUUGUGAUUCCGAACCUUUAAUAACUGUUCGCUAUAAUUAUUUGAUGCUAAUUUUCGCGUCUACUAUUGUCAAAUGUGUGUGAUGUUUGGUUGCAAUCUAUCAUUGUAUAUUUCUCAUCACAACGAUUGUAUGUCAAGAAGAGCAUCAAAGCAUCUACCAUCACCUCGUUAAUUAUCUUAUCUUUUAUGUAUGUAGAGCUUAUCGUGAUGUUAUUAAAAUUCCAGUAGCACCGUAAUCAUACGAUUAAAGUAUUAAUUUACAACGCAAUUGGUAUCAAUAGUUCUCUUCAUUCCAAGAACUGAAAAAAGAAAUUCAAAUAGAAAACGUAUUGGUCAUCAGUCGAAGUCGCUAAACGGCAUUUUCUCUUGUUCUAGAUGACGCGUAUUGUCUCCAUUGACGUAGCAUGCUGGAAUGUUUGUAUUGCUGUUAAAUGUUUUAGCGUACAGUGUUGUAUGGCUUGUAAUAAAUCAGAUAUCAUUUGUAUUA